UUGGACUUUAUUUAUGUAAUCAUGAAAAAUCUGGAGAUAUUUUGUUGUUGCAUGACGUACAUUAUUUUUAAAUACAUUUAAAACCAUUGUAAUCCAUUACAAUGAAUGUUCUCAGAAGAAUGAGUUUUUAAACUCAUAAGACAUUACUAUUCUGUUGAUUCACAGGUCACAUAUUUAUGGAAACGGCAUGAAACAGAAGUUGUCUCUUUGGUCCUGUCUCAAAUUAGAGGUAACGACUUCAUCAUACGUCACAGUGAGCUCCUGUCCCUUAGACCACACAGCUGGCUUGUAGGAGAGGUCACUGAAAGUCUCUUGCACCACUGGGCCAUUCGGCUAAAUCUGCUAAUACUAUUUACAAUAUGAACCACUACAUGAGUGCUGUGAUCUUCUAUGGAGAGAUCGAAAUCAUCAGGAGACAAAGUUUGUCCACGGUGAACUCUGACAACUACAAAACCAUUGUGUCAUUUGUAAACAUUGGAAAUAUACACUGGAAGUUUCUGUACAUAAAUUCAGAUGAGAGCCGUCUGUAUUUGUUCGAUCCUUCAAGAAAGUCUUUGGCACAGGAAGAGUCUGACCGGGUAGCCCAAAGAUUCUGGUAA
rnacentral:lncRNA from 1 species